rnacentral:rRNA from 1 species
UUCAANCUUUAAUUUCCAACCGGNUNGGGGUUUAGACCGAUGAGAAUCAGGUUGGAUUCUAUCUUAAUAAUAAAAUAAUUUUAAAUUAGUACGAAAGGAAUUUUAAAAUGUAAUUAUUAGGAUAAACCAUUUUAUUUGCAUCAAUUUUUGUAAUU